rnacentral:rRNA from 1 species
GACGAACGCUGGCGGCGUGCUUAACACAUGCAAGUCGAACGGAAAGGCCCGGCUUUUGUUGGUUGCUCGAGUGGCGAACGGGGGUGUAACACGUGAGUAACCUGCCCUUGACUUUGUGAUAACUUUAGGAAACUGGGGCGAAUACCGGAGAGAAGCUCCUGCUGCAUGUUGGUGGUUGGAAAAAUUCGGCGGUUGGGGAUGGACUCGCUGCUUAUCAGCUUGUUGGUGGGGUUGUGGCUGACCAAGGCUUUGACGGGUAGCCGGCCUGAGAGCGUGAACGGGGACCAUGGGACUGAGAUAGGGACCAGAAUGGUACCGGCGGCAGCAGUGGGGAAUUUUGCAGAAUGGGCGGACGUGUGAUGCAGCAACGCCGCGUGCGGGAUGCCGGCCUUUGGGUUGUAAACAGAUUUGGCAUGUGACGAACAGUGCGUGACGGUAAUGAGUAAAGAAGCCACGGCUAACUACGUG